GGAAGUAAAAGUCGUAACAGGGUCUCCGUAGGUGAACCUGCGGAGGGAUCAUUACAGAGUUCUUGCCCUACCGGGUAGAUCUCCCACCCUAUGUUAUUAUUACUUUGUUGCUUUGGCGGGCCGUUAGGCUCCGGCCCGACUACCGGCCCCGGCUGGUAAGCGCCCGCCAGAGGACCCAAAACCCUGAAUAUUAGUGUCGUCUGAGUACUAUAUAAUAGUUAAAACUUUCAACAACGGAUCUCUUGGUUCUG
rnacentral:misc_RNA from 1 species